UUUGGUGGCGAUAGCAAAGAGGUCACACCCGUUCCCAUGCCGAACACGGAAGUUAAGCUCUUCAGCGCCGAUGGUAGUCGGGGGUUUCCCCCUGUGAGAGUAGGACGCCGCCAAGC
rnacentral:rRNA from 1 species